GACGAACGCUGGCGGCGUGCUUAACACAUGCAAGUCGAACGGAAAGGCCCUGCUUUUGUGGGGUGCUCGAGUGGCGAACGGGUGAGUAACACGUGAGUAACCUGCCCUUGACUUUGGGAUAACUUCAGGAAACUGGGGCUAAUACCGGAUAGGAGCUCCUGCUGCAUGGUGGGGGUUGGAAAGUUUCGGCGGUUGGGGAUGGACUCGCGGCUUAUCAGCUUGUUGGUGGGGUAGUGGCUUACCAAGGCUUUGACGGGUAGCCGGCCUGAGAGGGUGACCGGCAAAAUUGGGACUGAAAUACGGCCAAAACUCCAACGGGAGGCAGAAGUGGGGAAAAUUGAACAAUGGGCGGAAGCCUGAUGCAGCAACGCCGGGGGGGGGAUGGCGGCCUUCGGGUUGUAAACCGCUUUCGCCGGUGACGAAGGGGGGGUGACGGUAAUGGGUAAAGAAGCACCGGCUAACAACG
rnacentral:rRNA from 1 species